UCGGAUUGCAGUCUGCAACCCGACUACAUGAAGCUGGAAUCGCUAGUAAUCGCGGAUCAGAAUGCCGCGGUGAAUACGUUCCCGGGUCUUGUACACACCGCCCGUCACACCAUGGGAGUCGGAAAUGCCCGAAGUCUGUGACCUAACCGUAAGGAAGGAGCAGCCGAAGGCAGGUCGGAUGACUGGGGUGAAGUCGUAACAAGGUAAC
rnacentral:rRNA from 1 species